rnacentral:rRNA from 1 species
GACGAACGCUGGCGGCGUGCCUAAUACAUGCAAGUAGAACGCUGAAGGAGGAGCUUGCUUCUCUGGAUGAGUUGCGAACGGGUGAGUAACGCGUAGGUAACCUGCCUGGUAGCGGGGGAUAACUAUUGGAAACGAUAGCUAAUACCGCAUAACAGUAGAUGUUGCAUGACAUUUGCUUAAAAGGUGCAAUUGCAUCACUACCAGAUGGACCUGCGUUGUAUUAGCUAGUUGGUGGGGUAACGGCUCACCAAGGCGACGAUACAUAGCCGACCUGAGAGGGUGAUCGGCCACACUGGGACUGAGACACGGCCCAGACUCCUACGGGAGGCAGCAGUAGGGAAUCUUCGGCAAUGGACGGAAGUCUGACCGAGCAACGCCGCGUGAGUGAAGAAGGUUUUCGGAUCGUAAAGCUCUGUUGUAAGAGAAGAACGAGUGUGAGAGUGGAAAGUUCACACUGUGACGGUAUCUUACCAGAAAGGGACGGCUAACUACGUGCCAGCAGCCGCGGUAAUACGUAGGUCCCGAGCGUUGUCCGGAUUUAUUGGGCGUAAAGCGAGCGCAGGCGGUUAGAUAAGUCUGAAGUUAAAGGCUGUGGCUUAACCAUAGUACGCUUUGGAAACUGUUUAACUUGAGUGCAAGAGGGGAGAGUGGAAUUCCAUGUGUAGCGGUGAAAUGCGUAGAUAUAUGGAGGAACACCGGUGGCGAAAGCGGCUCUCUGGCUUGUAACUGACGCUGAGGCUCGAAAGCGUGGGGAGCAAACAGG